UAAAGCAGCCAUAUCACCCUGUAGCCCAAGACUGGUUGCCCACUGAAGUUAAGCAGGGCUGAGCCUGAUCAGUACCUGGAUGGGAGACCUCCAGAGAAAACUAGUUUGCUGUUGGAA
rnacentral:rRNA from 1 species